rnacentral:rRNA from 1 species
AGAGUUUGAUUAUGGCUCAGGAUGAACGCUGGCGGCGUGCCUAACACAUUCAAGUCGAACGGAGUUAUGGAAAUUAAUCCUUCGGGAAGCGUUUGCAUAACUUAGUGGCGGACGGGUGAGUAACGCGUGAGCAACCUGCCUUUGUGAGGGGAAUAACGUCUGGAAACGGACGUUAAUACCGCAUAAAGCAGAAAGACCGCAUGAUCUUUCUGCCAAAGAUUUAUCGCACAGAGAUGGGCUCGCGUCUGAUUAGAUAGUUGGCGAGGUAACGGCUCACCAAGUCAACGAUCAGUAGCCGGACUGAGAGGUUGAACGGCCACAUUGGAACUGAGAUACGGUCCAG